rnacentral:lncRNA from 1 species
UCUCUCCUCUCUCCUCUACCCUCCUCUUCUCUCCUCUCCUCCCAUCUCCUCUUCUCUCCUCUCUCCUCUACCCUCCUCUUCUCUCCUCUCCUCCCCUUCUCUCCUCCUCUCCUCCCCUCUUUUCUCCUAUUUGUCCAGUUGUCCUGUAUGUCAGUUAUAUGUGUACUUGAAAAGACAAGGCCGACUGAUUUGCACUAAUGUUGAGGAACUGGGGUUGCCUAUCAACCUCAGGAUGGACACGCAUGCUACAUGCUGAUAACUUACGCUAUAACAAUACUUUUAGAAGUUUAGAGACUGAUUCGGUUCUGUGAUGUUCAAUCAUGUGGUCAAAACAGCCUUUUCUUUCUGGGGUGGAGAUGAGAGAUGGCCAUGCGUAUUUUCUUUAUUCUAACACUUGUUAUUGUUGGUGCUCACAACUGGUCUGUUGUCAUUUUUUUUAAAUUUUCUAUUCCUCCUGAGGCAUUGUUGAAUUUCCUCUGGUUUAGAAUAGAUAGCUCCUCUCUCUCUCUCUGCAGCAGUGUGGUUGGUAGGUAGAUUUGGGCUCUAUGGUUUAGAAUAGAUAGCUCCUCUCUCUCUCUCUGCAGCAGUGUGGUUGGUAGGUAGAUUUGGGCUCUAUGGUUUAGAAUAGAUAGCUCCUCUCUCUCUCUGCAGCAGUGUGGUUGGGAGGUAGAUUUGGGCUCUAUGGUUUAGAAUAGAUAGCUCCUCUCUCUCUCUGCAGCAGUGUGGUUGGUAGGUAGAUUUGGGCUCUAUGGUUUAGAAUAGAUAGCUCCUCUCUCUCUGCAGCAGUGUGGUUGGUAGGUAGAUUUGGGCUCUAUGGUUUAGAAUAGAUAGCUCCUCUCUCUCUCUGCAGCAGUGUGGUUGGUAUGUAGAUUUGGGCUCUAUGGUUUAGAAUAGAUAGCUCCUCUCUCUCUGCAGCAGUGUGGUUGGUAGGUAGAUUUGGGCUCUAUGGUUUAGAAUAGAUAGCUCCUCUCUCUCUCUGCAGCAGUGUGGUUGGUAGGUAGAUUUGGGCUCUAUGGUUUAGAAUAGAUAGCUCCUCUCUCUCUCUGCAGCAGUGUGGUUGGUAGGUAGAUUUGGGCUCUAUGGUUUAGAAUAGAUAGCUCCUCUCUCUCUCUGCAGCAGUGUGGUUGGUAGGUAGAUUUGGGCUCUAUGGUUUAGAAUAGAUAGCUCCUCUCUCUCUCUCUGCAGCAGUGUGGUUGGUAGGUAGAUUUGGGCUCUAUGGUUUAGAAUAGAUAGCUCCUCUCUCUCUCUGCAGCAGUGUGGUUGGUAGGUAGAUUUGGGCUCUAUGGUUUAGAAUAGAUAGCUCCUCUGCAGCAGUGUGGUUGGUAGGUAGAUUUGGGCUCUAUGGGUUGAAGGUUAGAACAAAUAACCGUAGAGAAUAAGACAUGUUUGUUUUUAAAUAGCUGGUAUCUAUUCAUGUUAAUUAGACAUUUCAAUCUUAAUACUAGACUUUCUUCUAGAUGUAUUUGUGUUCAGUAAUAGUCAUAAAUUACACUUACUGCUGGUACAGUUGUACUCCAAGUUAUUAUUUAGGUAUCUUCAGUAAUAUUCUCUCUGGGAGCAGCCAGCUAGCGACACAGAGGACAGCCUUCUAUACUGCUCUAUCUGAUCAGUUGGAGUAUAAUCUACAACGUUAACAUGACGUUUCUACAACGUUUCUAUAACGUUACCAUGACGUUUCUACAACGUUACCAUGACGUUUCUAUAACGUUAACAUGAUGUCUCUAUAACGUUUCUAUAACGUUAACAUGACGUUUGUACAACGUUUCUAUACCGUUACCAUGACGUCUCUAUAACGUUAACAUGAUGUCUCUAUAACGUUUCUAUAACGUUACCACGACGUUUCUAUAACGUUAACAUGACGUCUCUAUAAUGUUAAACGUUUCUAUAACGUUAACAUGACGUCUCUAUAACGUUAACAUGACGUCUCUAUAAUGUUAACAUGGCGUUUCUAUAACGUUAACAUGACGUCUCUAUAAUGUUAAACGUUAAUAUAACGUCUCUAUAAUGUUAACAUGGCGUUUCUAUAACGUUAACAUGACGUCUCUAUAAUGUUAAACGUUAAUAUAACGUUAACAUGACGUCUCUAUAACGUUAACAUGGCGUUUCUAUAACGUUAACAUGACGUCUCUAUAACGUUAACAUGACGUUUCUAUAACGUUAACAUGACGUCUCUAUAAUGUUAAACGUUAAUAUAACGUUAACAGGCCGUUUCUAUAACGUUAACAUGACGUUUCUAUAACGUUAACAUGACGUUUCUAUAACGUUAUUAAUAAUCCCUGGUACAGGAAUGCGACAGCGUUUUAUUUUUUUCGUGACUGAAUAAGAGAAAACGGAAUAAACAACAGGGAGAUGGACCCAGACUCAACCACACGCAGAUCAUGAUUCUGUUGAGACGGUUUUUUAUUUUGUUUUUAUUUUUGUAUUUUCGAUGUUGUUUCUUCUUCUCUGAUGAACAACUAUGUUGUGUAGUGGUAGGUAGCCUGCUGCGGCUUGUGAAACUGACUUGUUUUAAUAACUCCUUCUUUACCAACCUGUACCGAGGCAGCAUACAUUCCUUCCUGUAGGAAACCUAGUACAGGUGUAUCAUCCUUCUCACUAUAGCUACUAACUUAUUAACGGAAAGGUGGUGAUUAGGGUUGCGAAAUUCCAGAAACGUUUCCAAAAUUCCUCGAUUUCCCGGGAAAUUCCGGGUUGGAAGAUUCUGGAAAAUCCAAAAAUCCAAGUUACCGGAAAUGUACAACCCUAGUGGUGAUUGAUAACUAUGAGGUGCCAGAACAUGGUAAAGCUCUAAGGGUUUAUGAGGCACUGUCCAUCUUAACGCUUUAAAACCUUUUAUACAUGUCCUUACAUUCCAUCAUCCCAACUCAUAUCCUUGGACAUUCAACAUAUUUACAUUGACUAAGCUACACUUCCUAAAUGCUACCCUAUUUCCUAGGCAGUGCACUACUUUUGGCCAGCCCUUCAUCUCCUCAAAGGAAGACGAGCAGAAAUGAGAGCAAGACCAGGAACGGACUCUUUUGACAAUAUUCUCUUUUGGUGCUUUUCUCAAACUUGUCUGUCCAAAAGUAGUGCACUAUGUAGGGAAUAGGGACCCAUUUGGGAUGAAGCCGAAAACAUAUUCUCUGAGAGCCGGGAUCCAGCUGCCAGUCAGUUGUUGUUGUUAUUAUUAUUGACUUUAAUGUUAAAUGAGUUUAGAUGUAAAGAAACUCUUCUAAUCUAUAGUAGUUCAUAACAGAUGAAUGAUUGAUCUGUACUUUCUGUAAAUGUUAUGAGAAAAACGUUUUAUUUAGGCCAUUGUGGUGAAAUGAACCAUCAUUUGUAGUGCAUGAACACAGAGGGAAGGGGACCCUAGUGUCCUGAAAUCAUUUAUCCUAAAACACAUUUCAUUACCGUCACUAGGUAGUAGUACAUUUCUAAUACCUUUUCCCAAAAUUCCCAGGUUUUCUAGAAAUCCCGGUUGGAAGAUUCACAGGAUCAGGAGGGCAAAAAAGCAGAAAAUGCGGGAAUCCUCCAAACAGAAUCUGGGAGUUUUUGGGAAAGUUAACGGAAUUUUGGAGGCUCACACUUGUUCUGCUUCGGCAACACAAUUCCCUACACGCUGUAGGAAAAUCACUUAAUGACAAAGUAUUUUUUAUAUAGGUAAACUAUAAGACCAUCAUUACGCUGUGCGUAACGAAAUGUACAGAGAAGAUAAAAAUCAUAGGUAUUUUUGGAGGAUCAAUGAAUUUGUUAAUGAUAUGUAGCUAUUUAAUUUCCCUUUUUUUUGUCCAAUCAUGCAUUUUAUAACUUCUUUUUUUUUGGUGUAAAAAAAAAAAGUUGAUCUUUUUUGUUUAGUUUUUUUAGAUGUUUUAUUUUUUAAUUUUUAAAAGGUUAAAGUGCAGGAACACAGUAAUAAUAUGAAAACACUGCGUUGAUGAUAGCCACUUGUGUAUUUUAGCAGUUAUAAUGCUCCAUAAAGGCUACUCAGCAGACAGUCUACAAAGGCAUAACGGUUAUGUCCCAAACAAUCACCGGAUUCCCUAUAUAGGGAAUAGUGCCAUUUGUAACCAAUCCUCUUUAUUCAACCUUUUGCCUCUUGAGACAAUUGAACAAAAGAUUGUUGUCAUCCAUCUUGUUUGACUUGUUUGUGAUCCAGUAAUAACAGGUAUAGCCAGAUAGUCAUCCAACCAGUUUGGGAUAAAGAUGCUACUGUAUUAGCCAUGUUAUUUAAUCGAAGAUCCCAGGAAGACUGGCUGUGUGCUUCCAAAUCAAUGAUAUGCAUCCAAAAUGACACCAUUUUCCCUAUGUAGUGUACUAGUCAACAGCAGAUACAUAGGGAAUUAGGUACCAUUUUGGAUGCAACCAAAUGAAACAGUAAAUAUUCAAGUUCCUUCACUUGGAAGCUGCAUCAACAUUGUAAUUCAUUUGUAGUAUUCUGUAUUCUACUGUCCAUGCUGUUAGUAAAUCUGUGUUAAACCUUCAUUUUGUGGCCUUGUUCCUCCAACUAAAAAGGUUUUGGCAGGCCACCUUUUUUGUACUUAAGUAGUAUCGAUGAACAAUAAACUGCUCUUAAACCUCAAGUUGUGUCUCAGUCUGGUCACUCUAUUAUUGGUUACUGCUGUUUAUUACCAAGUCACUAAACGUCGAGUCUCCAAGUCAAUAGCGUUCAAUAAUUACUGUUAUUACCAAGUCACUAAACCCUGAGUCUGUCUCUAGCGUUCAAUAAUUACUGUUAUUACCAAGUCACUAAACCCUGAGUCUGUCCCUAGCGUUCAAUAAUGACUGUUUAUUACCAAGUCACUAAACCCUGAGUCUGUCCCUAGCGUUCAAUA